GCCGCCGCCCGUAGGCCGCCACCACCAGCGCCCGCAGAGCUCCCAACCCCGAGCUCCUCCUCCCGUGCACCUUCUCCCCAGCCUUCCUCGCGCGUCAUCGGGCGACCGGCGCCACCACCAGCGACCAUCCAGGUCACGCCACCGCCCCCUGCCUUCUCUCUUUCCUAUCUCUCUCUAAUCUCCUCAUCUCUCCUUCUCCCCAGGAGCUCAGCGCCAGCGCCAUGGAUGCCCAGUCCUCGAGCUCACCUUGGAGGUUCGAACGCCGCCAUGGGACCUCCACCGGCCAGAUCCGGCGCCUCCCUCCCCUGAUCCGUGCGCCCUCCACCUCCUCUACCCGAUCUGGCGCCCCACCCACCUCCCCACCACGCCCUGCGCACCGCCGGCCGCCUCCUGCCCCGUCCCGCCUCAGUGCGCGCCGCCGGGCGCCUCAUGCCUCCCAAUCCCAUCUCCUCCUCACCCGCGGCUUCUUCGCCGUUCACGGCUCCCGAAGCUCGAGCGGGCCGAUCUACGCGUCGGCGACCUCGUGGGAGGCAGAGGAUGGGAUGGUGUGCUGUGCUCGAGAAGAGUGGGCUCGUGUAAGGGGAUUGGAGGGUGGCGUCGGCGGGCUCGCGGACGGGGAUGGAGAGGGCGGUUGCUGGCAAAAUCAAGGCUGGGCAAGCCGGAAUUGAUCUAAAAAAACAGGAAAUAUAAAUAGCAUGCAAGCAAUCAGGUUGAUCAGAGCCAGACAGUUCACUACAGUAAGCAAUGCAAUAUCGUGGCAGAUUGU